CGGAUUGCAGGCUGCAACCCGCCUGUAUGAAGUUGGAAUCGCUAGUAAUCGCGGAUCAGCAUGCCGCGGUGAAUACGUUCCCGGGCCUUGUACACACCGCCCGUCACACCAUGAGAGUUAGGAAUACCCGAAGCCUGUGAGCUAACCGUAAGGGAGCAGCAGUCGAAGGUAGAAUCAAUGAUUGGGGUGAAGUCGUAACAAGGUACC
rnacentral:rRNA from 1 species